rnacentral:tRNA from 1 species
ACCAGGAUGGCCGAGUGGUUAAGGCGUUGGACUCAAGAUCCAAUGGGUGUUUGCUCACGUGGGUUGUUGUUGCCAGACCCAUCACUGCUU